CCUUCUCAAAGAACUCUUCUUUGGUAGUGAGUGACACUCUUUCUAGAGUUAACUUGAAAUUGCUAGCCAUAUAAUAGCUGUUGAUUGCUGACUUUGGACGGAGCGAUUUGUCCAGUCUGCUGAUACCGAUUGUCGUAUUAGGUUUUACCAACUUCGACGGACGUAGUGUUAGUGGGCGUUACUACGACUCUUUGCGAAACCCAAUGGAAAGCGAGCCGACGCAUUGGCGAACAAUACUCUUUAAGU
rnacentral:rRNA from 1 species